rnacentral:lncRNA from 1 species
ACCCCCCUCCCCCGUUCUACUGCGCCGCCUUCAUCUUCUUCAUUUGUUCCCUCACGCUAGUCCCGAUCCCCAUCGUUCCCCCUUCGACCACCCAAACAUCCAAUCGACCAGCUCCAAACGACCCUCAAUGACCAUCUCCGCCGCCUCCGCACACAACGUCACGCCGAGCUCCGCUCGUUUCCGGUCGUCAAACCAUCGAUGAAGAUUUCUAGCCGUUUCCAUGGUCACGCCGAGCUCCACGACCUCUCUUGCUUUCCAACUCUCGCAUUGUCUUGAUUUGGUCUAAUGAUUUUAUUCUUGUUCUGUUUUGGUCAUCACUUACUGUAUUGCCUUGAGUCCGGCUGGCUUAUUGUGUCAAUUUGAUUUUCUGCCUAUGUUGCUCGAACUCUACGAAAAUAUUAUCUCAUUUCUAUUGAAUUCGUCAAAAAAUGUACUACUCUUUUUGGAGUAUCCGACAUAUAUCCG